rnacentral:rRNA from 1 species
UGGGGAAUCUUGCACAAUGGGGGCAACCCUGAUGCAGCGACGCCGCGUGAGCGAUGAAGCCCUUCGGGGCGUAAAGCUCUUUCGACCGGAACGAUAAUGACGGUACCGGGAGAAGAAGCUGCGGCUAACUACGUGCCAGCAACCGCGGUAAUACGUAGGCAGCAAGCGUUGUUCGGAGUUACUGGGCGUAAAGAGUGCGUAGGCGGUUUUCUAAGUUCGGUGUGAAAUCUCCCGGUUUAACUGGGAGGGUGCGCCGAAGACUGGGAAGCGGGGGUGUGGGAAAGGCAGGCGGAAUUCCUGGUGUAGCGGUGAAAUGCGUAGAUAUCAGGAGGAACACCGGCGGUGUAGACGGCUUGCUAGACCAUAACU